rnacentral:rRNA from 1 species
GACAGAGGAUGCAAGCGUUAUCCGGAAUGAUUGGGCGUAAAGCGUCUGUAGGUGGCUUUUUAAGUCCGCCGUCAAAUCCCAGGGCUCAACCCUGGACAGGCGGUGGAAACUACCAAGCUGGAGUACGGUAGGGGCAGAGGGAAUUCCCGGUGUAGCGGUGAAAUGCGCAGAUAUCGGGAGGAACACCAACGGCGAAGGCAGCUCGCUGGGACGUUACGUGACGCUGAGACGCGAAAGCGUGGGGAGCAAACAGGG